AUUGAACGCUGGCGGAAUGCUUUACACAUGCAAGUCGAGCGGGGUUUUCGGACCUAGCGGCGGACGGGUGAGUAAUGCGUAGGAAGCUACCCGAUAGAGGGGGAUACCAGUUGGAAACGACUGUUAAUACCGCAUAAUGUCUACGGACCAAAGUGUGGGACCUUCGGGCCACAUGCUAUCGGAUGCGCCUACGUGGGAUUAGCUAGUUGGUGAGGUAAUGGCUCACCAAGGCGACGAUCCCUAGCUGGUUUGAGAGGAUGAUCAGCCACACUGGAACUGAGACACGGUCCAGACUCCUACGGGAGGCAGCAGUGGGGAAUAUUGGACAAUGGGCGCAAGCCUGAUCCAGCCAUGCCGCGUGUGUGAAGAAGGCCUUCGGGUUGUAAAGCACUUUCAGUAGGGAGGAAGCGUUGUGUGUUAAUAGUACACAGCGUUGACGUUACCUACAGAAGAAGCACCGGCUAACUCUGUGCCAGCCGCCGCAGUAAGAC
rnacentral:rRNA from 1 species